rnacentral:rRNA from 1 species
AACGAACGCUGGCGGCAUGCCUAACACAUGCAAGUCGAACGAGACCUUCGGGUCUAGUGGCGCACGGGUGCGUAACGCGUGGGAACCUGCACUUAGGUUCGGAAUAACUCCCCGAAAGGGGUGCUAAUACCGGAUAAUGUCUUCGGACCAAAGAUAUAUCGCCUUUGGAUGGGCCCGCGUUGCAUUAGCUAGUUGGUAGGGUAAAAGCAUACCAAGGCGACGAUCCAUAGCUGGGCUGGGAGGAUGAUCAGCCACACUGGGACUGGGAAACGGCCCAGACUCCUACGGGAGGCAGGAGAGGCGGAUAUUGGAACACGGGCGAAAGCAUGAUCCAGCACGGCCGCGUGAGUGAUGAAGGCAUGAGAGUUGUAAAGCUCUAUUACCCGGGAUGAUAAUGACAGUACCGGGAGAAUAGGCUCCGGCUAACUCCGUG